UUUCCGUAGGUGAACCUGCGGAAGGAUCAUUAUCGUACAAAAGGAGGGCGGCAUGCGAGGGCUGUCUCUGAAACUACAGUCGUGAACGCCCCAGUGUUCCCUCUUGCAUAAUAAUCCAUCCCACCCGUGGUACAUCACAGCGACGGCACCCCUCAGGAUCAUCCCGGCGGGGGGCUCGCGUUUUCACACACACCCCCCUUUUAAAAGUGUAUAAGGACCACAUUUAAGCAAGCAACAAAACUUUCAACAACGGAUCUCUUGGCUCUG
rnacentral:misc_RNA from 1 species